rnacentral:rRNA from 1 species
CUACGGGGCGCUGCAGUGGGGAAUAUUGCACAAUGGGGGAAACCCUGAUGCAGCAACGCCGCGUGGAGGAUGACGCAUUUCGGUGUGUAGACUCCUUUUAUAUAGGAAGAUAGUGACGGUACUAUAUGAAUAAGCACCGGCUAACUCCGUGCCAGCAGCCGCGGUAAUACGGAGGGUGCAAGCGUUACUCGGAAUCACUGGGCGUAAAGCGCGCGCAGGCGGCCCCUUAAGUUGGAUGUGAAAGCCUACGGCUUAACCGUAGAACUGCAUCCAAAACUGAGGGGCUAGAGUCUGGGAGGGGAAGAUGGAAUUAGUUGUGUAGGGGUAAAAUCCGUAGAGAUAACUAGGAAUACCAAAAGCGAAGGCGAUCUUCUGGAACAGUACUGACGCUGAGGCGCGAAAGCGUGGGGAGCAAACAGGAUUAGAUACCCCGGUAGUC